rnacentral:pre_miRNA from 1 species
UAUAUACUCCCUCCAUUCGGAAUUACUUGUCGUAGAAAUGGAUGUAUCUAGAUGUAUUUUAGUUCUAGAUACAUCCAUUUCCGAGACAAGUAAUUCCGAACGGAGGGAGUAGUUU